AAGUCGUAACAAGGUAUCCGUAGGUGAACCUGCGGAUGGAUCAUUAACAAAGGACUAUUUCCACGUCCUGUGAACUGUUUUGAAAUUUGAGGUUGGCACUUGUUGCCGGCUUCACCACUGACGUAUUAAACUUAACUGAAAUCUACUAGUAAGAACUAAGAGAACUUUUAGCAACGGAUCUCUUGGCUCUC
rnacentral:misc_RNA from 1 species